CAGUAGCCGCGGUAAAACGGAGGGCGCGAGCGUUACCCGGAUUUACUGGGCGUAAAGGGCGUGUAGGCGGCCUGGGGCGUCCCAUGUGAAAGGCCACGGCUCAACCGUGGAGGAGCGUGGGAUACGCUCAGGCUAGAGGGUGGGAGAGGGUGGUGGAAUUCCCGGAGUAGCGGUGAAAUGCGCAGAUACCGGGAGGAACGCCGAUGGCGAAGGCAGCCACCUGGUCCACUUCUGACGCUGAGGCGCGAAAGCGUGGGGAGCAAACCGGAUUAGAUACCCGAGUAGUCCCUGUCUCUUAUAC
rnacentral:rRNA from 1 species